rnacentral:lncRNA from 14 species
CAUGUGAAGACAUGUGCCUCUGUUGUUCUCUGCAUAUGUCACUUUUAUGUGUUCCCUUAGGGUUGUUGGAUCCAAGAGUUCUGACUAUUUCCGUAGCCCCUGGACACAUCUUCCCCCUUUGUCUGGCAUCCCAGAAUCUCAGAGGCACCACCACCAUCACUGUGAAGGACUGA